rnacentral:rRNA from 1 species
GGGGGGGAGCACUCCGUGCUAGCUCUUUGACGUUGCGGCGGAGGGUGAGUAACAUGUGGGUAACCUACCUAUAAGAUGGAAAAACUCCGGAAACCGGGGCUAAGCCGGAAACAUUUAGAACCGCAAGGUUCUAAAGUGAAAGAUGGUUUUGCUAUCACUUAUAGAUGGACCCGCGCCGUAUUAGCUAGUUGGUAAGGUAAUGGCUUACCAAGGCAACGAUACGUAGCCGACCUGAGAGGGUGAUCGGCCACACUGGAACUGAGACACGGUCCAGACUCCUACGGGAGGCAGCAGUAGGGAAUCUUCCGCAAUGGGCGAAAGCCUGACGGAGCAACGCCGCGUGAGUGAUGAAGGGUUUCGGCUCGUAAAACUCUGUUAUUAGGGAAGAACAAACGUGUAAGUAACUGUGCACGUCUUGACGGUACCUAAUCAGAAAGCCACGGCUAACUACGUGCCAGCAGCCGCGGUAAUACGUAGGUGGCAAGCGUUAUCCGGAAUUAUUGGGCGUAAAGCGCGCGUAGGCGGUUUCUUAAGUCUGAUGUGAAAGCCCACGGCUCAACCGUGGAGGGUCAUUGGAAACUGGGAGACUUGAGUGCAGAAGAGGAAAGUGGAAUUCCAUGUGUAGCGGUGAAAUGCGCAGAGAUAUGGAGGAACACCAGUGGCGAAGGCGACUUUCUGGUCUGUAACUGACGCUGAUGUGCGAAAGCGUGGGGAUCAAACAGGAUUAGAUACCCUGGUAGUCCACGCCGUAACGAUGAGUGCUAAGUGUUAGGGGGUUUCCGCCCCUUAGUGCUGCAGCUAACGCAUUAAGCACUCCGCCUGGGGAGUACGACCGCAAGGUUGAAACUCAAGGAAUUGACGGGGACCCGCACAAGCGGUGGAGCAUGUGGUUUAAUUCGAAGCAACGCGAAGAACUUACCAAAUCUUGACAUCCUUUGACCACUCUUGAGAUAGAGCUUCCCCUUCGGGGACAAAGUGACAGUGGUGCAUGGUUGUCGUCAGCUCGUGUCGUGAGAUGUUGGGUUAGUCCCGCAACGAGCGCACCCAUGAACUUAGUUGCCAGCAUUUACUUGGCACUCUAGGUUGACUGCCGGUGACAACCGGAGAAAGUGGGG